UAGGGAAUCUCCACAAUGGACGCAAGUCUGAUGGAGCAACGCCGCGUGAGUGAAGAAGGUUUUCGGACCGUAAAGCUCUGUUGUUGGUGAAGAAGGAUAGAGGUAGUAACUGGCCUUUAUUUGACGGUAAUCAACCAGAAAGUCACGGCUAACUACGUGCCAGCAGCCGCGGUAAUACGUAGGUGGCAAGCGUUGUCCGGAUUUAUUGGGCGUAAAGCGAGCGCAGGCGGAAGAAUAAGUCUGAUGUGAAAGCCCUCGGCUUAACCGAGGAAUUGCAUCGGAAACUGUUUUCUUGAGUGCAGAAGAGGAGAGUAGAACUCCAUGUGUAGCGGUGGAAUGCGUAGAUAUAUGGAAGAAUACCAGUGGCGAAGGCGGCUCUCUGGUCUGCAACUGACGCUGAGGCUCGAAAGCAUGGGUAGCGAACAGGAUUAGAUACCCUGGUAGUCCAUGCCGUAAACGAUGAGUGCUAAGUGUUGGGAGGCUUCCGCCUCUCAGUGCUGCAGCUAACGCAUUAAGCACUCCGCCUGGGGGAGUACGACCGCAAGGUUGAAAC
rnacentral:rRNA from 1 species